rnacentral:tRNA from 1 species
GGUUUGUGGCUCAGCAGUAUAGCACUCGCCUAGCACGUGUGAGGUGCUGGGUUCAAUUCUCAGCACCA